rfam:Oryza rufipogon genomic scaffold, chr04
UUUAAGCGCAGUCAUGAGUUUCCGUGUCCAACUUUGAUAAUCCGUCUUAUUUGAUUUUUUUAUUAGUAUUUUUAUUGUUAUUAGAUAAUAAAAUAUGAAUAGUACUUUAGGCAUGACUUAAGUUUUUUAAUUUUUCUAAAUAAGACGGACAAUAAUAGUUGGACACGAAAACAUAUGGCUUCGCUUAGA